rnacentral:rRNA from 1 species
ACAUGCCUACAACAUAACGUUAAUGAACCAGAUCCCAUUAGAACUCCACAGUUAAGCGCACUCGGUAUAGAGUAGUACUGGUAUGGGUCACCACCUCAGAAGUCCUAGUGUUUUACAUGCC